rnacentral:tRNA from 1 species
GCCUUUGUGGUGUAAAGAUCAGCACACUCUGCGCGUAUUCGAGAGAUCCGAGGUUCUAAUCCCGGCUAGGGCA